rnacentral:rRNA from 1 species
GACGAACGCUGGCGGCGUGCUUAACACAUGCAAGUCGAACGGAAAGGCCCUGCUUUUGUGGGGUGCUCGAGUGGCGAACGGGUGAGUAACACGUGAGUAACCUGCCCUUGACUUUGGGAUAACUUCAGGAAACUGGGGCUAAUACCGGAUAGGAGCUCCUGCUGCAUGGUGGGGGUUGGAAAGUUUCGGCGGUUGGGGAUGGACUCGCGGCUUAUCAGCUUGUUGGUGGGGUAGUGGCUUACCAAGGCUUUGACGGGUAGCCGGCCUGAGAGGGUGACCAGCCACAUUGGGACUGAGAUACGGCCCAGACUCCUACGGGAGGCAGCAGUGGGGAAUAUUGCACAAUGGGCGGAAGCCUGAUGCAGCAACGCCGCGUGCGGGAUGACGGCCUUCGGGUUGUAAACCGCUUUCGCCUGUGACGAAGCGUGAGUGACGGUAAUGAGUAAAGAAGCACCGGCUAACUACGUG